GGCGAGAUGGCCGAGCGGUCUAAGGCGCCAGACUAAGGUCGGUUCCCGAUUGUAAUCUGGUCCGAAAGGGCGUGGGUUCGAAUCCCACUCUCGUCA